AUCCAGCUCAUAAGUCCUAAAUAGGACGAAACGCGAGUUCUGGAU
rnacentral:hammerhead_ribozyme from 1 species